UUCAGGUCAGUCAAGGAAGCUAAAUUUGCACAGGUCCAAACAGGUAAUGCUAACUUCUUUUUUUAACUUUACAGUCAAAAGAGAAAACAGAAAGGCAGCAACAGAAGAAGAGCAAGGGCCCAAGAAAGCUGCUUAAAACAGUGGAGAGCAUCAAGGUAGGAUAAAUGGGUUCUUUACUUGGUCCCUCCAUCCUUUUUCAUGGAAAGAAUAGACUCCUCUACCAACCCACCCACAUUACAUCCGAAUUGGCACCUGACUUAGAAGUUGGCUAACUGAAUCACCAAAUGGCCAGAACACUAUCGUGUCUAGAAGGACAGAUUCCUGAUAAGUCACUGUAGUGUUCAGUUUUCAAAGGGAUGUUUUCAUUUUGGAGCAGAAGUUUGUAGAAGCAGCUGAGACAAUAUUGCUUUUUUAAAGAGCAGAAUAAUUCUAGGUCAAAUACAGCCAUGCCAUCCGCGAGGGAAAAAUGCUUCAGAAGCUGCUUUGUUUCCUAUCCCUGUGAGAAAGGUUUUUGAAAAUAUUAAUAUAAAAUAUAUACGUCCAAUGGAGGCCAGGGACCCUGGAAGUGCAGCAGCCUGAGGCCUGGCGGGGAAGGCCUGCCUCCCUGGCCUGUUGCUGCCUAUGUGGCUCCAGAGGCUCUGCUGGGGUCUGUGGAGUCCAAGGAGGCAGGCAGGCCCCCUCGGGAUGGGCCGAGAGGCGGGUAAGGAAGCACAGGUAAGAAAAUAAUAUAUAAAAUAUAUAAAAUAAUGCAUAAAUAUUAAAAUUAAUAUAGUGUCCCUACUUCGCAGAUUUUCACUUAUCUUGGGUGCUCCUGGAACGAAACCCCUGCAAUAAGUGAGGGAACACUGUAUACUAUACUAUACAAUUUAAAUUCUAAUAACUGUUUCUGACUUUGCAUCUAUAUAUAUAAACUAGCACUUUUGAAUUGCAUAUAAAUGUGUGUCUUUUACUCUUUCUUUUUGCAUAUUCCUACUGCCAUUUUUGGCAAUGUGCAAGCAUCCUCCCUAUAGAAGCAGCACAAAAAGUAACCCCUCCACAUAUCUGAUUUCUAAAGCAGGAAUUGUAUACCAUCCCAAACCGAUUGUAUACUCAAGCCUGGAUUGACAAAAUCUUCUCCAAAUAUUUUUCCCAGAUUAAAUUGAGUUUAUGAUCCUGUCUACUAUUCCCUAAAGGGACAUCACCUAGAAUCCAAUGGAGAAAAUACUUUGUUAUGGUCAGCAUAAUAUUGAUGAUACAUCACAACUCAUAUUUCUGUAUGAUCUUGUCUAGUUUUUCAUGUCUUGUUUUUUUCUUUUGUUAGUAAAGGUAAAGGUUUCCCAUUGACAUUAAGUCUAGUUGUGUCCAAUUCUCGGGGAUGGUGUUUUCUCCAUUUCUAAGCCUAAGUCCAUAGACAACUCCAAGGUAAUGUGGUUGCCAUGACUGCAUGGAGCACCAUUACCUUCCCACCAAAGAGGUACCUACUGAUCUAUUCACAAUGUUUUUGAACUACUAGGUUGGCGGAAGCUGGGGCUAACAGUGGGAGCUCACCUCUCUCCCUGGAUUCAAACCACUGACCUUUCGGUCAGCAAGUUCAGUUCAAGCCGCUGACCUUUCAGUCAGCAAUUUCAGCUCCCAAGUUAAAAAUAUAACUUGUAUAUGUAAAUCAAAAAUAAACAUCUUGAAUUUGUUUCUCAAAAACCAGUGUAAUUCCUUGCAGCCACUGUAUUUUUGGAAAAGGCAGAAGGUGUGUGAGUUGUGUGUAUGUGUGUGCGCGCUAUGCUCCAGCAUAAUAACAGAUCAACUUAUAGAUUCCCAGAAAUGGGGAAAAUAAUGCCCUUGCUUAUCACAUCUAUAAAAUUGCAAGUUUUUAUGCUUCCCUGUUUCAACCCUUUAAAUCAUUUAUCUUUCCAUUUGAGUGUCCAAAAUAUGUCUGAAAACUCAAUUUCCAAAAAAUAUGAUAUGUUAAUUGAACAAUGAAGGCAGGUCUAUGAUAAAGUCACAGAUCUUAAGGGGUAGGUGAUGCCAGAUGACUUUUCCAGUCCUGCUGUUUCAGUUUUCAUCGGACUUACAUUUUCAUUUGGAUCAUUCGUAAUGUAUCCUCUUUUAUUAACCAACAUGGUAAACAUGGUCUGACUUAUUUCCACAAUAAUAGAAAUCUCUUGUAUAAUAGAAAUAUAAAUUGUAGUUUGAUAUUUUCCAAAGCAAAACAAAAUCUUCCCUGAUUUCCCGCAUUUUGCCUGGAAGCAAAACUGUUCUGAGGCAGAUCCAUAUUUAAGAUGGGAUUUGAGAUUGGGAAAGAGUUUGAUCACUCUAAGGCCAGACACAUCUUCAUGAAUUAUAUCAUGAAAAUGCUUCAAAUGCUAGUACAGUCAACCCUCUACAUUUGUUGGGGUUCUGGGCAAAUUAUUAGUCCAAGACUGAAAAAACUAUAUAUGCUAAAGGAAUUAUAAUGACAUUUGCUUUCAUUAUACUGAAGCAGGUUCUGCCCAGUCUCUCUUACCAAUUUGACUGCCAUGAACUCACUGUGUAAGAAAGCUUUUCCUACAGCUUUGAAAUUUGAAAUUCAGUCUUUCUUAUAUUUUUCUUAUA